UCCUAGAUAGAUCUUGUGUGAUCGUAGAAUUUUUUCGAAAUACUACGUUCCCCAACAAAUUAUUUUACUAAUCCUCAUUUUGUUUCAAACCAAACUCAAAUUCAAAUUCAAAUGCCAAGUUGAGUUAUAAUUUUAUAAAGCAGUAAAUUAAAAUGUUCCUCAGGUUGAGAAUAUUCACUACAUAAUUUUCAUACAUUAACAAUCUUUUUUUGAAUUUUUCAAAAUGGCUAUGUAUAUUAAAUAGUGGACUAGAGGCACCCGUUUAGCCCUUUUAAAUGCAAUUAUAAUUUAAAUGAUUUCAAUUUGGCCCCAAACUUUUUGUGCCACCCCAAAGUUUUGUGCUUGAUUUAUGUGCCAAGUUUCAGUUAUAGCAAAAAUCGUUUGCUGCAUAAUCUAAAUGCAAAAGAAUGGUGGAAAUAUUACAGGAAAUAAAAGGGAAAAUAUGGGAGACCUACUGUGCACUUAGGCCUGCUAAGCUACAGUGCGGCCCAGCCCACUUGGAGUCUCCCCUCUCCUCUGUUCACAGAACAUGCGCAACUUCACAUACUUGAAAGUCAACUUGAUAAGUUCAAGAUGAAAGAUGGUGAAGGCGUUUACUCUAGGCUUGCACUCAUCAGUUCGAAAUUGUUCGAAAUUUCCGGAUAUUUCAGUGAGUUCAGAAAUCUAUUAUAUAUAAAAAGCACUUAAUGGCCUCAUUAGAAAAAUAUAAAUAACCUUGAAAUUACCACAAUAAUUAAAAACAUCUGGCGUUUAUUUAACUGACUAAAAUUAUAUAGCCAUUAGAUUAGAUUAGAUUUAUGUGAAAAAAUUACCCACCAUUGCCAUUAUAAUAAAGAAGAAAACGUUUCACCAUAUCCUUAGCUAAUUAAAACAAAAAAUACCAUAGGAUUAUGGGUAACCAAUCGUUUUGUCAAAAUCGUACUGCAAAGAGAGGCACCGCUAGGGUUUCUCUGGCGGCGGCUCAGGUUCUCACAUCGAUGGGGUUCCGCCCAGAAGCCUCAAUCGAUUCUCCGAUGACUUGUGUGCUGAUAAGAGAGAUGUAGCUGAGUAUGGGGUGCAUGUAUUUGCUGGACUCAAGCCGAUCUCACAGCCGCCGAGGAAGUGCAGGCUGCCGCGGAUUGGUGGUGCAAUGAUUUCUGCUCCAUUCAUCAACUGUUAAAUUCAUCACUAAACCAGGACGAUUGGAGUGGCCUUUUCGGUUGCUUGGAAGGAAGCUCAGUCAUCUAACCACAAGAUUUGAAAUUUCAGUUUGUCCUUGGUUCAGCAAGUUUCUGAGACUAAUAAUCUCCAAGAGAUCUUUCACAAGCCACUCUCUACCCAAGCUUUUGGCCAGUUCCAACAAGUUCAAUUAACAUUAGCUCACAUCACUCUCACGCCUUGCUCGCUAGGAUAUAUGGAGCUACUAUUGAAAUUAUGCAACCUUUUCUGCUGCCAAACUUUACAGAGUUCUAAUUCAAGGAGAGAGGGCACACCCCAUAUUUAAGAAGAUUUGGAAAUCAGCAGUGAUUCAGAGAUACCAAAUUUUCUGUUGGUUUCUGAUCCAAGAUAGGCUCAACACAACAAGUCUGCUUCUUAGGAAAUCAUUUCACCUGCCCUCCUACCAAUGUGCGCUAUGUAAUGAGCAAAUUGAGACCACAUUGCACCUCUUUUUGGACUGCUCAUUUGCUCUAGAAUGCUGGCACCUGAUCACCCCUAAUAAGAAGAGGAACACAUCUUUCAUUCAGGAAAUCAUGCUGGCUUUGAAUGAAUUACCAAAUGGAGUGGGCAUGAACAUUGUCAUUAAUGAGUUGCUGGCAUAUUUGGAUGCAAAGGAACAACAAGAUCUUUAAGCAUAUAUAUCCAAUCACCACAUCAUGGAAGCUGCUACACAAGAAAGAUUUACAGUUGCUACAUCAUAGAACUAAGCACUAGCUCCUUCAAGUUUUUCAAGACUGGAUUGCCACACGUUUGUAGUCUGAAAGAUCCUUGAGUUAGACAUGUUUCCAAGAGCAGGCAUUGGUUAGAUGGGCUUGGCCAUCUCCUUUUCUUUUUAUCCCUUUUGUACAUACAUUUUUAAUUGCUUUUAAUGAAAAUUACCAUCGAACAAUUGUUAUUCAGCCUCUGGCUAAAAAAACAUGCUAGAAGAACUGAGAAGUCGAGAAGACUACAUAAUGUGGAAAGUGAAGAAUCAGACUGAUGGGACCCAAAAACAGAUGACAUUUUGUACAUGUAGUAGUGUGGAUAAUGUUAUUUUUUCUACAAAGAAAGUAGACACUAUUUCUUUCUAGAAAGUGGUCACUGUGAAAGCAAACAAUGUAACAUGAAUAUAUAAGUUUCUUACCGAGAAA